rnacentral:rRNA from 1 species
CCUACGGGGGGGCAGCAGUAGGGAAUCUUCCACAAUGGACGCAAGUCUGAUGGAGCAACGCCGCGUGAGUGAAGAAGGGUUUCGGCUCGUAAAGCUCUGUUGUUAAAGAAGAACGUGGGUAAGAGUAACUGUUUACCCAGUGACGGUAUUUAACCAGAAAGCCACGGCUAACUACGUGCCAGCAGCCGCGGUAAUACGUAGGUGGCAAGCGUUAUCCGGAUUUAUUGGGCGUAAAGCGAGCGCAGGCGGUCUUUUAAGUCUAAUGUGAAAGCCUUCGGCUCAACCGAAGAAGUGCAUUGGAAACUGGGAGACUUGAGUGCAGAAGAGGACAGUGGAACUCCAUGUGUAGCGGUGAAAUGCGUAGAUAUAUGGAAGAACACCAGUGGCGAAGGCGGCUGUCUGGUCUGCAACUGACGCUGAGGCUCGAAAGCAUGGGUAGCGAACAGGAUUAGAUACCCUGGUAGUCCAUGCCGUAAACGAUGAUUACUAAGUGUUGGAGGGUUUCCGCCCUUCAGUGCUGCAGCUAACGCAUUAAGUAAUCCGCCUGGGGAGUACGACCGCAAGGUUGAAACUCAAAGAAUUUUGACGG